GAUGAACGCUGGCGGCGUGCCUAAUACAUGCAAGUAGAACGCUGAAGGAGGAGCUUGCUCUUCUGGAUGAGUUGCGAACGGGUGAGUAACGCGUAGGUAACCUGCCUGGUAGCGGGGGAUAACUAUUGGAAACGAUAGCUAAUACCGCAUGACAACAGUUAUUGCAUGAUAACUGUUUAAAAGGGGCAACUGCUCCACUACCAGAUGGACCUGCGUUGUAUUAGCUAGUUGGUGAGGUAACGGCUCACCAAGGCGACGAUACAUAGCCGACCUGAGAGGGUGAUUGGCCACACUGGGACUGAGACACGGCCCAGACUCCUACGGGAGGCAGCAGUAGGGAAUCUUCGGCAAUGGACGGAAGUCUGACCGAGCAACGCCGCGUGAGUGAAGAAGGUUUUCGGAUCGUAAAGCUCUGUUGUAAGAGAAGAACGAGUGUGAGAGUGGAAAGUUCACACUGUGACGGUAUCUUACCAGAAAGGGACGGCUAACUACGUG
rnacentral:rRNA from 1 species